CAAAACAUCCUCUCACAAGAUGGCACCCAGAAAAAAUAUCAUGUGACACAACUGAGUUUCCAAAGAAACCAGGAAUUUCCACUUCAGCUGUAGCCAAGGAUGCAAAGGUCCAAAGCUGUGGUGAAAGACCAUCCUCUGUGUGGAACUCAUCUUCCUUAUGCUUGCCAGAAACAUUUAGAAGAAUUUAGUUGAAGUUACCCACUGAGUACAGAAGCCUGGAUGGGUGGCCUUCAAGCAUAUACCAUCUGUUGAUCUACAGGAACAAUCCCUUGCCUGUCAGUCAAAGCCCUCCUCAGUCCCGCCCAGAUCAACUCGGCCAGCCACUUUGUCCACUGCACACUUUCUCUACCCUUCCCCACUUUGUGCCUCUGUUCUGCUGCCUUUGCUCUCUCAUCUUGUGUCCAGCCCAUUUCAUAUAUACUGAAAAGUGUGCUUGUAUCUUCCCCAGACUGGGAAAGUUAGAGCUCCUGUUCUGGACGUUCCAUGAUCACUAGUAAGUCUUGGAAAUCUGUCUUUGCAAGGAUGUGCACAGCAGCACAGUUAUUGCGGCAAAGAACAGGAAGCAGAAUAAAUGUCCAUCAAGAGUGGUGGGUAACUAAGUCACUGUUUUCCUGUGUCUUCUGAAGAACAAGGCAGCAAUUAAAUGUCCCACCAGGCUCAUGGGUUGAAUGUUUGGUUCUCGGUCCAUGGUGGAGUUUUGGGUUCCUAACACUAAAAAUAAAGAAAAAACGAGAAACUUCCCUUUCC